GUACUUGUGGGGCAGUUAACUUGGCUGAGGAAAGUGUUAUGGAACUGGUCCUUUGAACUUAGUAUCUGCCUAAUAGGUUUCCAGUGGAACAACUUUUGUGACUGAGCAAAGAGAGGCAUCAUACUGCUGACUGACAUCAGCUGCAUUUAACUGGUGACAAGAUAAAGCUGAAUUUCUGAAAAAUGAUGUUCAGGAAACAAACAAACAAACAACAACAAAAAAAAGUGAACCUGCAAUAAGAAGAGCUUCAGACUGUGCAAGUUUCUGAAAGCAUCACAGCCUAUCAAAAACAGAGGAAUGUUUUUAGAGUUUCCAAGUGUGCUCUUAGAGCUAUUGGAACCAACAUGUGACAGCCAGAGGAAAAAGAGGAGUGGACAAUGGACUUGGAAAUGUCAAGGCAGCCAUAUACAGCGAGGAGGACUUGGGCUCUUCCUCUGCAGACAUCUGAAGAACGUGUGUCCUGUGCAUGAGAAAUGGGGUACAGCUAGAUGAGCUUUGCAGAGGUUACGUGGUAUUUUUAACAGACCUGCCUCCCGCCUGCUUGUCUGAGAAGAAAAAUUUAUGGGAACUCAAAUAUUAGUCACUUCUGAUGCUGACUCUAUGAAUCAAUUUGAAAUGUGAUUGAAAGAGUGCUCACAGAGAAGGGAGCAGAAAGAUGUAAUUAUUAGAUAAUAAAGCUGAAAAGACCGUCUGAUUCUGUGUAGCA
rnacentral:lncRNA from 1 species